UGCCAGGCCAAAGUAAUAGUGCAGUACCAAGGCGACACUCAAAGACGCAAGUAGCAAGCUACCUUGAUGGACCUUUCCCCUAGAAAAAUUAAGUUAAUAUCGUGUGAGCCAAUGGCUCACGUAUCAGAUAUUAAACUAAUAAGAACAGAUACUACACUUGAUCUUAGCCAAAAGGCCGAGAAAGAGUUCAAGAGGUGAUAAAGGCAACUUGUUCAUCCUGAAUUUGGCAGAUACCUCUUAUUGAGCUCCUAUCUAAAAUCUUGAAAGGUGACAGCAGAUUUAACACCCGCGAAUGCUGGUGCCUCUUAUUGAGCUCCUCGCUAAAUUCUUGAAAGGUAAUCCCUACAGGAUCAAUACCGAACAUGCGUUUUAAUAAGUUCGGAGAAUUUUAGCAGCUUAUGUUCAAAUACUUGAGUUUAUUCUUUAUAAAUGCAAUCAUCAUCAAACACUAAAACGGAAAAGAAUUUACUCUGUA